rnacentral:rRNA from 1 species
GGUAUGGGAUGAGCUUGCGUCCGAUUAGCUAGUUGGCGGGGCAACGGCCCACCAAGGCGACGAUCGGUAGCCGGCCUGAGAGGGUGAUCGGCCACAUUGGGACUGAGAUACGGCCCAGACUCCUACGGGAGGCAGCAGUAGGGAAUAUUGCACAAUGGGGGAAACCCUGAUGCAGCAACGCCACGUGUGGGAAGAAGCAUUUCGGUGUGUAAACCACUGUCAUGAGGGAAUAAGGCCUGUCUUCGGGCAGGAUUGAAUGUACCUUGAGAGGAAGCACCGGCAAACUUCGUGCCAGCAGCCGCGGUAAUACGAGGGGUGCAAGCGUUGUUCGGAAUUACUGGGCGUAAAGGGAGCGUAGGCGGAGAUUCAAGCGGAUUGUACAAUCCCGGGGCCCAACCCCGGCUCUGCAGUCCGAACUGGAUCUCUUGGAUAGUUCAGGGGCAGGC